rnacentral:rRNA from 1 species
GGUACCUGCAGAAGAAGCGCCGGCUAACUACGUGCCAGCAGCCGCGGUAAUACGUAGGGCGCAAGCGUUGUCCGGGAAUUAUUGGGCGUAAAGAGCUCGUAGGCGGUCCUGUCGCGUCUGGUGUGAAAUCCCGAGGCUCAACCUCGGGCUUGCAUCGGGUACGGGCAGACUAGAGUGCGGUAGGGGAGACUGGAAUUCCUGGUGUAGCGGUGGAAUGCGCAGAUAUCAGGAGGAACACCGAUGGCGAAGGCAGGUCUCUGGGCCGCAACUGACGCUGAGGAGCGAAAGCAUGGGGAGCGAACAGGAUUAGAUACCCUGGUAGUCCAUGCCGUAAACGUUGGGCACUAGGUGUGGGGCUCAUUCCACGAGUUCCGUGCCGCAGCUAACGCAUUAAGUGCCCCGCCUGGGGAGUACGGCCGCAAGGCUAAAACUCAAAGGAAUUGACGGGGGCCCGCACAAGCGGCGGAGCAUGCGGAUUAAUUCGAUGCAACGCGAAGAACCUUACCAAGGCUUGACAUGCACCGGAAACACUCAGAGAUGGGUGCCCCGUAAGGUCGGUGCACAGGUGGUGCAUGGUUGUCGUCAGCUCGUGUCGUGAGAUGUUGGGUUAAGUCCCGCAACGAGCGCAACCCUCGUCCUAUGUUGCCAGCGGGUUAUGCCGGGGACUCAUGGGAGACUGCCGGGGUCAACUCGGAGGAAGGUGGGGAUGACGUCAAAUCAUCAUGCCCCUUAUGUCUUGGGCUUCACGCAUGCUACAAUGGCCGGUACAGAGGGCUGCGAUACCGUAAGGUGGAGCGAAUCCCAAAAAGCCGGUCUCAGUUCGGAUUGGGGUCUGCAACUCGACCCCAUGAAGUCGGAGUCGCUAGUAAUCGCAGAUCAGCAACGCUGCGGUGAAUACGUUCCCGGGCCUUGUACACACCGCCCGUCAAGUCACGAAAGUUGGUAACACCCGAAGCUCAUGGCCCAACCGGUUUUCCGGGGGGAGUGGUCGAAGUGAAG